AGUGAACGCUAGCGACAGGCCUAACACAUGCAAGUCGAGGGGCAGCACAUGCGAAGCAAUACAAUGGUGGCGACCGGCGCACGGGUGAGUAACACGUAUGCAACCUACCUGUAAGAGGGGAAUAACCCGGAGAAAUUCGGACUAACACCGCAUAAUACCUCGAAGCUGCAUGGCUUUGGGGCUAAAUAUUUAUAGCUUACAGAUGGGCAUGCGUAACAUUAGAUAGUUGGUGAGGUAAAGGCUCACCAAGGCGACGAUCCGUAGCGGGUCUGGGAGGAUGAUCCGCCACACUGGGACUGAGACACGGCCCAGACUCCUACGGGAGGCAGCAGUGGGGAAUUUUGGACAAGGGGCGCAAGCCUGAUCCAGCCAUGCCGCGUGAGUGAAGAAGGCCUUCGGGUUGUAAAGCUCUUUCGCGAGGGAAGAAAUGGCGUCGGCUAAUACCUGGCGUCGAUGACGGUACCUUGAUAAGAAGCACCGGCUAACUACGUGCCAGCCGCCGCCGUAA
rnacentral:rRNA from 1 species